GCUUUUAUUAAUAUAAAUUUGUAGAUUUGAAAUUUUUUCAAAAUUCUCUUUGUGCUACUGUCUAAACUAAACAAUAUAGGAAAAUUAUAAUAGAGCAGAAACAUCGCAUAUAAGCCUAAUUUUGACAUUGGAUAUAGAAAUAGAAGGAAGAGAAUUGUGAGUCAUUUUAUUGGCCUUAUAUUAAUAUUCAGUGAGCCAGAUGCAAUAGAAACAUGGAGAAAAUAUAUAAAAAAGAGAAUUCCAGCCAGGUGUGUGAGCCACCAUACCCGGCCACAAAUUUAUAUUUUAAAAGUUUGUAUAACAUAAAAUGUGUAAAACCGUUAAAUAAAGGAAAUAUUAAAAUCUUUUUUGAAGAAAACAAAAUUAAUUUUUAUACGUGGAAUAUGUGUCCCUUCACGAAGAAUGGUAUUUUAUAUAAGUUUAAGGUAACUUUCAAUGCAAUUUUGUUACAAAGUUACAGAAAGAUGCAAAAAAAAAAAAAAAAAAAAAAGAACUAAAGUGUCCCCAGAAUGAAUGACCUAUUAGAAUCAACCAAUGGUAAGGUACUUUAUUGAAGAGAAGUUUUUUUUUUUUUCCACUUUUUUGAAGGCAUAUUUUAAUUGAGCACCAGGAAAAACUACAAACUGCAUCACAUUAGAAAUUAAUCUAGUGCUGGCCAGGCUCAGUGGCUCAUGCCUGUAAUCUCAGCACUUUGGGAGGCCGAGGCGUGGGGAUCACGAGGUCAGGAGAUCGAGACCGUCCUGGCUAACACGGUGAAACCCCGUCUCUACUAAAAAUACAAAAAAUUAGCCUGGCAUGGUGGCGGGCGCCUGUAGUCCCAGCUACUCAGAAGGCUGAGGCAGGAGAAUGGCGUGAACCUGGGAGGCGGAGCUUGCAGUGAGCCGAGAUUGUGCCACUGCACUCCGGCCUGGGUGACAGAGGGAGACUCCGUCUCACAAAAAAAAAAAAUUAAUCUAGUGCUUUGUCAAAAUACCAUUGUAAAUUUUUAACUUCUCCACUUCCCCAAUUCUGUGGGCUGGGAUUUCAUUUUUAAAAUUGGCUAAUUAUUAUAAAGAAUUUUGGUUACCUGACUAAUGUUUUCAAAUUUCUGAUAUAUAUAUAUAUAUAUAUUUCACCCACACAGGGCAAGUAGGAAAACCUCAGUUAUGUUUUAAAGCAUUAGGUUCUAUAAAAUCGUAUUUUAUAGAAAUCUUGGAAAUGUUGUCUUUCUAUAAAAAUAGACAAAUAUAAUCUCAAAAUAGUUUCAUUUUUACAAUUACAUAAUUCUCAAGAAUCACUUGGUGAUAACUAUUUUAGAAUUAAUUAUCCUUUGUAAGACAGUUUAUCAACUGAUACAUUCAUCUGUUACUAACCUAAAUAUUUAUUUCAUACUGCCUUCCGAUUUAGUAAUCUUUAAAUUUUUUUAAUGAAGAAAGGUAGGUAAAUGAGAGGAAAGGGGUCUGGACUAGACAUUAGAAGACCUAAGUUCUGGGCCUGGCUUACUCCACAGCCAUAAGGUGUUUUUGAAUUCCUUUUUCUUCAAAAUCUCUGCCUCAGCUGGGGUGGGGAAGCAGCUUUGGGGCAACAUCUAAUUUGGGGAGGGAGACAUGGACACAGUCUGCCAUUCAGCAUAAUUCUGGUAUCAUAACAAUAUAAUAAUAACCCCAAUUCUCUGUGGGUCUAGGAUAAGGUUAAUUCGCUUACAUUCUUAAAGGACAUUUAGAGGUAAGUUGGGAUAGCUGUGGUUGCUGGCCAGAGGGAAGGAAUUUCCUGGUCUUAUCUGGAGGCUCAUAUUGGUUCUUUCCGAAGGAGUACGCUAAGAGCUCAGGCUUAGGUGUCAAACAGACCUUAAUUCCUCUCUCAGUUAUAACUACUUACUAUAACUAACUAUUACCUUGAAGGUAAUAGUUAACCCCUUUAGCCACAGUUUCUGCAUCUGUACAAGGUGGUUAAAGAUAAUUACCUAUUUCAUAGUUAGAAUUAAAUGAGAAAAUGCUUAGCCAAAGGGCUACAUGUGGCUACUGAGGACUAGAAAAAUGGCUAGUAUGUCUGUUAAACUGAAUUUUUAAUAUUGAAUUUAAAAUUUAUAAACUGACACUUGAUUCAGUUAUUGGAAAACUUUUAGAUAUGUUUGGAACCACUUGCAAAUUUUAUGUAAUCUAAAUACAGACAUACUAGCCAUUUUCUUAAAUUAAUUAAUUUUUUUGAGACGGAGUUUCACUCUUGUUGCCCAGACUGGAGUUCAAUGGCGUGAUCUCGGCUCACUGCAACUGCCACCUCUGGGGUUCAAGCAAUUCUCCUGCCUCAGCCUCCUGAGUAGCUGGGAUUACAGGCAUGCGCCACCAUGCCCAGCUAAUUUUGUAUUUUUAGCACGGACGAGGUUUCGCCAUGUUGGUCAGGCUGGUCUUGAACUCCUGACCUCAGGUGUUCCACCCUCCUCAGCCUCCCAAAGUGCUGGGAUUACAGGUGUGGGCCACUGCACCCGGCCCAUACCAGCCAUUUUUCUAGUCCUCAGUAGCUGGUGGCUCCCAUUCAGUCUACAUAUAGCUGGUGGCUCCCAUAUUUAACAUGGUAAUAACAAUUAUUAUUAAUCUAAUAUCAAUGAUAACAUCAUUAUAUCAAUACUAAGAAUACUAUAUUAUUAAAUAAGUAAAAUAUUAAUAUGUUAAUAUGGUAAAUUAAAUAUUUAUUACAUUAAAAUAUAAAAUUUAUUAAUAUUUAAAUUAAAAGGUUAAAAUUUUAAAGAUAUUUAAAAAUCUACCUCUUGAAUUCAUAUUAUCUGGUGUCCGAUACAUUUGAAGGCCUAGGAAGGUAAAGCCUGCUUUAAAAUUUUUGACUAACUCAGAGAAGAAGCAGUUGUGAAUUUCUCAGUGUAAGAAUACUUCGAAGAAACCCACUGUUGAAAGACAAUUUUUUCAAGAGUAAGAGGCUGUUAGGGGAGAAACAUUCUUUAAGGUAGCUUUUUGGGUGUGUACAUAAGUAGCUGUUUAACUAUGGAUGCCUGUAAGCACACUACUCACUACUAAGAAAAUAUGGCUGUAUUUUUUGGUCCACCUUAGCUUGAUAAAUUGUGGAAGGAAUUUUAGUGUAAUAUAAAUUAUGAGUUUUUAGGUCAAGCAUCUGGGCAUAGAUAAAGAUAACUAACAAAAGGCAAAGCAAGUCUCUAAUAUUAGGUUUUAUCUGGAGAAAAUGCCUUCAGAAGCUUAAUUAUUUUGAGUGUUUUGAGAAUUUUUGAAUUAUACUUCCAUAGAUUUAAAAAAUUAUUCUAGAAUGCCUGCUAAAUUUUAUUUGACAUUCAUUUAUCUGCAUGUAAGUUAUUUCCAUGACGUAUUAAGCAUCUCACAAUGCACUGAUCAACAUAUUUAAUACUUUUAUACUAAAUCUUGUAUAAAAUGUUCAAUUUAUGAAUGUAAAUGUAUAGUACUAUAGAUGCCCAAGAACUAUUAAUAGUAAAAAUGAUUAAUUUCCUAGGUUUCUAUGAUACAAGUAUUUGUAAAUAGUUUUUCAAUACUAAAUUAUAUUUUAUUAAAUAGUUUUUCAAUAUGAAUUAUACUUCCAGAAAUUUUUGUUUUCCUAGGUGACCAGAUCUGAUUAAAACCCAUGCUGAGAAUGAUCUCUAAGGCAGUUAGAAUGCAGAAGUUGAUUAGUAACAAUAGACUGUGUAGUCUAACUUAUGAAAAAAAAAAUCUAUUAGCUAGGAUCCUUAAAGCAACAUUAGCCACUUGAUGUGAUUAAAAUGAAGUCUCUGUAAUAAAAUAUUGUCAGUGGAUUGAAGAUUCUUGUUUGGAAAAUGUCCCCUUUGCCAUUACAUUUAUAUCCCUUAAAUGUUUUGCUACUUCUGUAGCACAGUUUUAUGAAUUCGUAUUUUCCUCCUGGAUAGCCUCUAACUUUAUGCACAAAGCAUUACUGGAGCAUAAUUAUUCAGAGUGUAUUUGAGAUUUCACUCACAGGAUUAUUUCAGAUAAAUCCCCUAUAUUGAAUCUUAUGUGCCUGCUGUGUUGAUCGUUUCACCAGCAUUUAAUAGUGUAUUUUCUUUUUCAGGUAUUAUUCCCCUGGAUAUUCAGAUACACUUCUGCAGAGGGUGGACAGCUAUCAACCACUUAAUAACUGAGCAAAGUUAUAUUGUGAUACUCAAAUUCACAGCAGAGUAGUUUUGAGUAACAGUAAUUAAAUCCUUCUAAAUAUUU
rnacentral:lncRNA from 1 species